AGAGUUUGAUUCUGGCUCAGAACGAACGCUGGCAGCGUGGAUUAGGCAUGCAAGUCGAACGGAAAUCUGUUGUUUCAAUCUUUCGGGAGGGAGACUUCAGAGGAUAGUGGCGGAAGGGUGAGUAACACGUGGGCAAUCUGCCCCUAAGUUGGGGACAACCUCUCGAAAGGGGGGUUAAUACCGGAUGUGAUCCUUGGUCGCAUGGCCGAGUGAUUAAAGGUGGGGAUUCUUCGGAACCUGCCGCUUAGGGAGGAGCCCGCGUCCCAUCAGCUUGUUGGUAGGGUAACGGCCUACCAAGGCUUACGGGUAGCUGGUCUGAGAGGAUGAUCAGCCACACUGGGACUGAGACACUGCCCAGACUCCUACGGGAGGCUGCAGUCGAGGAUCAUUCGCAAUGCGCGAAAGCGUGACGAUGCGACGCUGCGUGGAGGAUGAAGGCCCUUGGGUCGUAAACUCCUGUCAUUUGGGACAAACGGCAGGUAGGUUAAUACCCUAUCUGUGUGAUGGUACCGAAAGAGGAAGCCACGGCUAACUCUGUGCCAGCAGCCGCGGUAAUACAGAGGUGGCGAGCGUUGUUCGGAUUUACUGGGCGUAAAGCGUGUGUAGGCGGCAUCGUAUGUCGGGUGUGAAAGCCCACGGCUCAACCGUGGAACUGCAUUCGAAACUGCGAAGCUGGAGUGCAGGAGGGGAGAGCGGAAUUCUUGGUGUAGCGGUGAAAUGCGUUGAUAUCAAGAGGAACACCGGUGGCGAAGGCGGCUCUCUGGAAUGUUACUGACGCUGAGACACGAAAGUCGGGGGAGCAAACAGGAUUAGAUACCCUGGUAGUCCCGACCGUAAACGGUGUGAACUUGGUGUGGGGGGUAUUGACCCCCCCCGUGCCGGAGCUAACGCGUUAAGUUCACCGCCUGGGGAGUACGGCCGCAAGGCUAAAACUCAAAGAAAUUGACGGGGGCCCGCACAAGCGGAGGAGCAUGUGGCUUAAUUCGAUGCAACGCGAAGAACCUUACCAGGGCUUGACAUGGGGACCCUUCGGGGGUGGUAGCGAAAGUUACCUUUUACCAUCACAGGUGCUGCAUGGCUGUCGUCAGUUCGUGCCGUGAGGUGUUGGGUUAAGUCCCGCAACGAACGCAACCCUUAUGUUUAGUUGCCACCGUGGGUGAUGAGCCCGCGAGCACUCUAGACAGACUGCCCGUACAAGCGGGAGGAAGGUGGGGAUGACGUCAAGUCAGUAUGGCCCUUACGCCCUGGGCUGCACACGUGCUACAAUGGUCGGUACAAAGGGAAGCAAUACCGCGAGGUGGAGCAAAUCCAUAAAACCGGCCCCAGUUCGGAUUGGAGUCUGAAACUCGACUCCAUGAAGUUGGAUUCGCUAGUAACGGCGUAUCAGCUACGGCGCCGUGAAUACGUUCCCGGGCCUUGUACACACCGCCCGUCACAUCAUGAAAGCCGUCUGCACCCGAAGUCAUUGAGCUAACCCGCAAGGGAGGCAGGUGCCGAAGGUGUGGGUGGUGAUUGGGAUGAAGUCGGAACAAGGUA
rnacentral:rRNA from 1 species